UACGGAGGAUGCGAGCGUUAUCCGGAUUUAUUGGGUUUAAAGGGUGCGCAGGCGGAGGCACAAGUCAGCGGUAAAAUCGCGGGGCUCAACCCCGCUCCGCCGUUGAAACUGUGUCCCUUGAGUGCGCGAAGGGUAGGCGGAAUGCGCAGUGUAGCGGUGAAAUGCUUAGAUAUUGCGCAGAACUCCGAUUGCGAAGGCAGCAUACCGGCGCCCGACUGACGCUGAAGCACGAAAGCGUGGGUAUCGAACAGG
rnacentral:rRNA from 1 species